UACGUAGGGGGCUAGCGUUGUCCGGAUUUAUUGGGCGUAAAGAGCGUGUAGGCGGCCAGGUAGGUCUGCUGUGAAAACUCGGGGCUUAACCCCGGGCCUGCAGUGGGUACGGGCAGACUAGAGUGCGGUAGGGGAGACUGGAAUUCCUGGUGUAGCGGUGAAAUGCGCAGAUAUCAGGAGGAACACCAAUUGCGAAGGCAGCUCGCUGGGACGUUACUGACGCUGAGACGCGAAAGCGUGGGGAGCAAACAGG
rnacentral:rRNA from 1 species